AUGAAUGCGGCGUGGGCGGUGCACAUCUACCACGGCGACAACGGCCCGUACCUGCUCCUCCACAGCACCGCCUACGGCCGCUACCUCGCCGCCACGGCCACGCCGGCGAGGCUCGGCCACCUCGGCCUGCGCGCGGAGCUGCGCGACUACGACCAGCCGAGGGUGGAGGCCAUCAUGUGGCAGGCCGUGGAGUCGGGCUUCGCGGAUGACGUCGUCCUGCUCCGCAACGUCGGCGGCCGCUUCCUCCGCGCCAACGGCAGGUACCUCCGCUGGAACGCCGGCGUCAGCGUCGACAACAGCGUCAGCACCAUGAUGUACUGGGUCGUCGAGCCCAUCCCCGCCAGAGAGGACAUGCUUGCCCUUCCUGCCCCGCCUCUGAAUCCCCCAUACGGGUACCUCCUCGGGGUCUACCUGGAGCCGGGACGGCUGAUCCGGUUCGUGCGGGCGGUCGACGACGGGCACUACCCCGAGGACCCCGAGGCCGACGGCUGGCAGCAGUUCUGGUUCAGGGGGAGGUCAGCGUUUCGCCUGAGGGACGACCUGGGGUUCCUCGUCGGCGCCGGCGUGUACUACCCGAACAUCGCCAUGUGCGUCCGAGCGGGCCGCUACGGGAGGCUGACCCCGCUCGUCGUCGACCUGUCCGACGGCGGCUACGGCGAGACCUCGAGAUUGUCGUCUUCCUGGCCGACACCCCUGAUUACUGAAAUUGUUCUAGUCUGA
rnacentral:rRNA from 1 species